AGUGUUAGGACAAACAUGGCCCACCAAAUGGAGGUUUUUCAGAGACACACUCCAAACAGUGUUCUGAGAAAAUGUCAAGCCGGCUGUACAAGUGAUCAAAGAAACCCACAAAUAUAAUUACCUCUGUGAUGUGGAUGGGUGCAGCGCGGGGCUCCUGGAGAACUAUUACCCCCGUCCCCCAUCUAACCCCUGACUGGGCCCGAACAAAGGGAAUGGGCACCGUGGAGAAUCGAGCAGCGGCGCGGCCGCCGGUGAUGAGAAGUGAUUUUCACCUUUCCUCUUGCUGUGAGGGCCAAUCACAUGGAAGUCCAGAUGGCCAGCUUCAGUAAUUCAGUGCGAUGGACUGGUGACCUGUCCAGGGUGUAUCCUGCCUUUCGCCCGAAG